rnacentral:rRNA from 1 species
AAACUCGCGAGAGUAAGCUAAUCUCUUAAAGCCGUUCUCAGUUCGGACUGUAGGCUGCAACUCGCCUACACGAAGUCGGAAUCGCUAGUAAUCGCGGAUCAGCAUGCCGCGGUGAAUACGUUCCCGGGCCUUGUACACACCGCCCGUCACACCAUGGGAGUUUGUAACGCCCAAAGUCGGUGGCCUAACCUUUGUGGAGGGAGCCGCCUAAGGCGGGACAGAUGACUGGGGUGAAGUCGUAACAAGGUAGC